CGGGCCCUUAAUUACAUGGCAAGGUCGAACGGAACUCUGGUAUUGAUUGGUGCUUGCAUCAUGAUUUACAUUUGAGUGAGUGGCGAACUGGUGAGUAACACGUGGGAAACCUGCCCAGAAGCGGGGGAUAACACCUGGAAACAGAUGCUAAUACCGCAUAACAACUUGGACCGCAUGGUCCGAGCUUGAAAGAUGGCUUCGGCUAUCACUUUUGGAUGGUCCCGCGGCGUAUUAGCUAGAUGGUGGGGUAACGGCUCACCAUGGCAAUGAUACGUAGCCGACCUGAGAGGGUAAUCGGCCACAUUGGGACUGAGACACGGCCCAAACUCCUACGGGAGGCAGCAGUAGGGAAUCUUCCACAAUGGACGAAAGUCUGAUGGAGCAACGCCGCGUGAGUGAAGAAGGGUUUCGGCUCGUAAAACUCUGUUGUUAAAGAAGAACAUAUCUGAGAGUAACUGUUCAGGUAUUGACGGUAUUUAACCAGAAAGCCACGGCUAACUACGUGCCAGCAGCCGCGGUAAUACGUAGGUGGCAAGCGUUGUCCGGAUUUAUUGGGCGUAAAGCGAGCGCAGGCGGUUUUUUAAGUCUGAUGUGAAAGCCUUCGGCUCAACCGAAGAAGUGCAUCGGAAACUGGGAAACUUGAGUGCAGAAGAGGACAGUGGAACUCCAUGUGUAGCGGUGAAAUGCGUAGAUAUAUGGAAGAACACCAGUGGCGAAGGCGGCUGUCUGGUCUGUAACUGACGCUGAGGCUCGAAAGUAUGGGUAGCAAACAGGAUUAGAUACCCUGGUAGUCCAUACCGUAAACGAUGAAUGCUAAGUGUUGGAGGGUUUCCGCCCUUCAGUGCUGCAGCUAACGCAUUAAGCAUUCCGCCUGGGGAGUACGGCCGCAAGGCUGAAACUCAAAGGAAUUGACGGGGGCCCGCACAAGCGGUGGAGCAUGUGGUUUAAUUCGAAGCUACGCGAAGAACCUUACCAGGUCUUGACAUACUAUGCAAAUCUAAGAGAUUAGACGUUCCCUUCGGGGACAUGGAUACAGGUGGUGCAUGGUUGUCGUCAGCUCGUGUCGUGAGAUGUUGGGUUAAGUCCCGCAACGAGCGCAACCCUUAUUAUCAGUUGCCAGCAUUAAGUUGGGCACUCUGGUGAGACUGCCGGUGACAAACCGGAGGAAGGUGGGGAUGACGUCAAAUCAUCAUGCCCCUUAUGACCUGGGCUACACACGUGCUACAAUGGAUGGUACAACGAGUUGCGAACUCGCGAGAGUAAGCUAAUCUCUUAAAGCCAUUCUCAGUUCGGAUUGUAGGCUGCAACUCGCCUACAUGAAGUCGGAAUCGCUAGUAAUCGCGGAUCAGCAUGCCGCGGUGAAUACGUUCCCGGGCCUUGUACACACCGCCCGUCACACCAUGAGAGUUUGUAACACCCAAAGUCGGUGGGGUAACCUUUUAGGAACCAGCCGCCUAAAGGGGGCCAAUUG
rnacentral:rRNA from 1 species